UAAGGAAUAUUGGUCAAUGGAGGCAACUCUGAACCAGCCAUGCCGCGUGCAGGAAGACGGCCCUAUGGGUUGUAAACUGCUUUUAUUCGGGAAUAAACCUCUGCUCGUGAGCAGAGUUGAAUGUACCGAAAGAAUAAGGAUCGGCUAACUCCGUGCCAGCAGCCGCGGUACUACGGAGGAUCCAAGCGUUAUCCGGAUUUAUUGGGUUUAAAGGGUGCGUAGGCGGCUUAUUAAGUCAGGGGUGAAAGACGGUGGCUCAACCAUCGCAGUGCCUUAUAUACUGAUGAGCUUGAAUACACUUGAGGUAGGCGGAAUGUGACAAGUAGCGGUGAAAUGCAUAGAUAUGUCACAGAACACCAAUUGCGAAGGCAGCUUACUAAGGUGCAAAUGACGCUGAGGCACGAAAGCGUGGGGAUCAAACAGG
rnacentral:rRNA from 1 species